GUUAGCGCAACGCUCGUAUGCGUUUCGAGCGUCUGCGGGCUUGGACUUGCUGUGUUUUGAAAGGGAUUCGGGUCAAGAGCACCGAACAGUGGAACAGGUAGCUGUGCCGCAGAGCAAGCGCCGCUGGAUAGCUAUUUUUCUUGAACGCGCUCUACUACGACCUGGGGCCUGACGAAGCGCCCCUCAAGCUGGAACUAGUUUCAGUAUCGUCGAGCAAGAGCAGCUCGAUAGCUGUUUCCCCUGAACAUUCUUCGUCGACGAUCCAGAAAUAAACCUUGUCAAGGGCGCGGUAACAAGUUUGUGUCUCCACGUUUCAAUUCGCUUGCACAUUUUUGGUACAACUAUUGCGCUCACAAGCAGCCAAGAGGCGCGCAAAACGCUUUCCAGAGUGCUCAUGUUGAUCAGCGGUGACGUAUCGGGUACGCAAGUCACGUUGAUGCGUCGACGCCCUGCCGCAGUGGUCGUGGGUGCGGGCAGUGUUCACGAAGCCGGGCCCACCACGUGCUUUGGUGGUCUUUCAGAGCCAGGUGAGCCGCUAUCACCACGGCAGUCUGGUCUGCAACAGUACAGCACUCGAACCAGUCAUUUCAGUGAUCUUUACGUCUGCUUCAUUGUGUUCAUAGCACUUGGUUUAGUGCCUGGUCUUCUUUUCCUUUACUGGGGGACUCGGUUUCCGCCUCGGACGUAGAUGCACCGUGUACUUACAUGUCGUAGCGCUGGCCUGGAAACGCAGGUCUCUCUGGCGAGCCGAUCCACUGAGGACGAACGAAAGACAUCAGCAUCAUUCGAGGCCCAGGAAUCUGGCACUCGAUGAGCAUAAGGGAGUUGCCGCUUCGAGAGAGUUCGAAGACCAGUAGCGUCAGUACUUGGGUUCGCGACGUGCGCAAACACUUUUCGACUUUUUCCCCAGCGUAUCCCUUUACUGACCUGUAUUUUCAUUGGAGCGCGUUAUUGUAUGACACCAGCGGCACGUAGUGCCUGCGCUUACUUGCCGAAUAUAGACGUCUUCUUUAAACACAAUUGCGCGCUCGGGGAACAUUGGUUAGAGGAAACGACCCUACACCCCAGAAAAAAGGUCCUUCAUGAUCCAGCGAGAGCCUAUUCCCUGGUAGUCGUGAGCACAUGGACUUGCAGUCGCAGACACUUGUUCGACAAUGGCGUCGCAUUCCAAGUUGCCUGCACCUUGGCGUUCUAGAUGAGGGUGGAUCCACGAAUGAAGCGAUUGGGUGCAACUCCGACGAUGGUGCGCAUCUACAAGUGCGAAACGCUCCGCAGUUCUCAGUCCUGCCAAACAUACAGCGACUUUGAUCAAGCGACUGUGAUCCACGAAAAUACAAUAAAAAAUGAACGCCGAAUUCACGUCAAGGCUCUUUCUACAUCAAAACUGGUGAUAGAGCGGUGCAAGUUGCGGCGAGCAGCCCGCAAUCAAUGUCGACUCCUGAUGCCAGCGCAUUCAAAGACAGGACAGGAAUCGGUAGUUUCGUGCCUCAAUAUAUAGAUACGUUGCAAUGCAAACUUU